rnacentral:rRNA from 1 species
GUGGUAAUGCCGGAUGCUCCAGUUGAUCGCAUGGUCUUCUGGGAAAGCUUUCGCGGUAUGGGAUGGGGUCGCGUCCUAUCAGCUUGACGGCGGGGUAACGGCCCACCGUGGCUUCGACGGGUAGCCGGCCUGAGAGGGCGACCGGCCACAUUGGGACUGAGAUACGGCCCAGACUCCUACGGGAGGCAGCAGUGGGGAAUAUUGCACAAUGGGCGCAAGCCUGAUGCAGCGACGCCGCGUGAGGGAUGGAGGCCUUCGGGUUGUAAACCUCUUUUAUCGGGGAGCAAGCGAGAGUGAGUUUACCCGUUGAAUAAGCACCGGCUAACUACGUGCCAGCAGCCGCGGUAAUACGUAGGGUGCAAGCGUUAUCCGGAAUUAUUGGGCGUAAAGGGCUCGUAGGCGGUUCGUCGCGUCCGGUGUGAAAGUCCAUCGCUUAACGGUGGAUCCGCGCCGGGUACGGGCGGGCUUGAGUGCGGUAGGGGAGACUGGAAUUCCCGGUGUAACGGUGGAAUGUGUAG